CCAUGGGCUUCUCAUUGCCUUCGUCUCUAUCGGAUUCUAUACGGAAAACGCACCUAGUAAUUUUUGUAUGGUUCGAGAAAGUUGGGACAUUAGAGAAGAAUUUGUCAAACCUAACGAGAGAGAUUAAAAUACGGAAGCUCGUCCUCAACAUCUUAGUCAGUGAUAGUAGAGCUCGUCUUUCCAGAGCACUAAGGUGCAAUUUCAUCCAUGAUACAAUUUUUAUUUUAUUGAGUAUUUUCAAAGUUGAAUUUGAUUUUAUGUAUUUAUUUUUAUGUUUUCAAGUCUUAAAGCAACUCAGUGGCCAAUUUCCUAUUUUCUCUAGGGAUAGGUUUUAUAAAAUCUGAAGCUAUUUUUCGAGGGUUCAAUUAUUUUCCGUAGAAGAUCUCAACGUACUCUUGCAUAUUGUGAAAGUUAUAUAUGAGUGGUUUAAAUCAGUAAUUUAAAAAAUUCUGCUCAACUUAAUGCCUUAAUGAUAGAUUGUCACAUUGUAACUUCUUAAAUUUUUGUUAAUGGUAGCUCUAAAGCUGAAAUCUGGCUUAUAGCUUCCUUAAUUGUUUUAGAUCUUGCUUCAUUUAGAAUUAUUUAGCACUCUUUAAUUGUAUAUGGAUGUACUUUUUUCGAACAUUUGCUUUAAAAUGAUGAAAUUUGUAGCUUUACUCUCUGCUAAGUACUAUUCUUGUUUUCCAUAUUGUGGAAGUUGUACAAGAAUUGUCGUAUUAGUAAAUGCUAAAGUACUCUGCUAGAUGAUAGGCUAUAAUAUUGUAACUUCGUAAGUUUUCGUUAAUUAUGUAGAGUGACUUUGGUCUACUCUCUUUUCUAAUGAGAGUUAGAAUUUGGUGAGAUGGUAAUUGGAUAUGGAAGUAUGUUUAUCCGAAACUCUGUUUUACUUUUUUCUUUCAAAGUGCAUGUAUGCAAAAAGAUGUUCGCUGCAGUUAUUUCAUCAUCAAAAGUUUGAUCAACUGACUAUUGAUCAUCUAAUGAUAGCGCAGCGGUUUAUGCCUCUGGUAUGUGUAAUUUAAACUUAUAGAAACAAAAUAUAUCGUGAUGAAAUAAACUUAGUUUUUCUUUCCCCUCCUGUAUUUCAUCUAAUGGAAUUGUUUGAUUUGUUCCAUAGCAAGAUACACUAUGAGGUCCUUUGGUAUCAACCAUGACGUAAAACAAUGAGUCUUUGGUUCAGUCAUAUGAUAUUUUUUUUUAUUGAAGUUAUUACCAUAUUUCUUUUAGAUGAACCAGAAAAUUCCAUAGAGGAGAGAUCUUAUAGCUUAAUUAUGAUGGAGAUGCUGCCCCGAAGCGAGGAUGAGCAAAUUGAUCAUGUUUUACGAAUAGGUACUUUUAUUGUCUUCUCUUCAUGCUCGAUGCUAUUCAAUUACAUACCAAGAAUCCAAAUCCAUUGUUUCAUUUGUUUUGACCUUCUUGGAUUUUGCUAAUGCAGGAUACGACUUUCGUCAUCCAUACUUAACAGUAAUUCCAUCACAUAAGUGCUAAUUUUCUAAUGUGAAUAUACUUGUCUUCUUUUUGUUAUUUUGAAAGACAAUGUACCUUUAAUGUGUAUUAUGGCCAAAAAAGAAAGAAAUUUAUUUAGAUAAUCACAUAUAUUUUUACAGAAACUACAUGUUAUUGCUCUCUUCAUAUUAAAAUACUUAUAUUGAGAAAUACUAUAGUGACCCUCUCACCAAACGAGCAUAUAAAAAAGGCAGUUCAAAAGAAGGAAAUAAUCUAGAAAGCUGGUCUAAUCCAUUGGAGUUGGCAAUAGGAGAAACUGCUGAAAAGUUGAUCAAGUAUCUUAAAGAGGAAUUUCCCAUAGGUGCUUUUAAGUGUACUCAGGAGCAGAAAUCUAACAUCAGGUGGAAAGAAAGUUAAAACUGGAAAAGCAAACAAUAUUCUCCAAACAAGUGAUUUCUUUCGAGCUGAAAGUAAAUUUAGCUAUGAAAUUAGGAGAAUUUUGUCUAUGAAAAUAAUCCAGUCAAUUAUCUGUAUUAUUGAGUAACUUUAGCUAUGAAAAUAAGAGAACUCUAUUUUCAUUCUAAACAUAUAUUUUUUGAAGUUUAUAAAUGAUGGUAGAUGUCAUACAAUUAGUUAAAUAUUUUGUGGGAAGCAAUGUGCCACACUUACUGAAGAAGGACCAAGUAAGAUAGUGCCAGACUUGCCUAUUGAACAAAGUAAAUAUCACUUUGAUCUAGCAUGAGAAUAGAGGCAAUGAAUGUGUUAUCUAACCAAGCUGAAACAAGCUAAUAUAGCAACAAAACAUUUCCACUUUGUUUUUGGCAUUAACUCAUUGUUGUGCAUUUUUGUAAAGACGUGAAAAAAAUGCACAUAAUCAUGUAUGAACUUUAAGUGCAUUUACCGAGCAUAACAUUAAUGAAAAAGGAAGAAUAUUUUUAUAUAAGAAUGAAGAAGUUAAGGGCCUAAUUUACUUUGGAGCAUCAAAAAGUAGAACUGUAACUCUAGGAUAUUUUGUCUUUACCAAUUAAUUUGUGAUUUUUUUUUUUUUAGCCUGUCAACUUUUUUCCUAUUAGAUUAUGUUCUUUUGCGAACAUAUGAAUUUCAACUUAUUCCGUGUGUUUCCUCUUGAAAUUGAAUUUAUUAUGUGGUUUAUUCUUUUGAUGGUAUAUUUGUCAUCUACUUGUAAUUUUUUAGAUUUUGACAAUCCUCUCUCUAUCAAAAGAGUGAACAUGCUAUCUACUUAUCAUUCUUGAUUAUAUCUAUUUUACGGAGAUUAAUGUUCCAUUCUUUCUUUUACAGUUUCAGUCGAUUCGUUUGAAGAACAAAUCUAAGAGUCAUGAACUUGAAUCUAAUGGCAAUAGUGGUAAAAGUUCUCUGCUCUUAAAAUCAGCUGUGGUGUAUAGUAUUGAAGUCUAUUUCUUUAUUCUAUCUUAGUUAUAUAUAUUUUAUGAAGGUUUAUUUCGUCCACACAUAAUGAAUAAGCUGUUUUGAACAUAUUAUGCUGGUUUUAUAACUUCUAUCAUGGUGGAAGGCUACAAUUUGGGAGUUCUAAUCGUGUAUUUGCUAAUAUGACAAUAAUAUUCACAGCCAUCCUU
rnacentral:lncRNA from 1 species